AUACGUAGGUGGCAAGCGUUGUCCGGAAUUAUUGGGCGUAAAGCGCGCGCAGGUGGUUCCUUAAGUCUGAUGUGAAAGCCCCCGGCUCAACCGGGGAGAGUCAUUGGAAACUGGGGAACUUGAGUGCAGAAGAGGAUAGUGGAAUUCCAAGUGUAGCGGUGAAAUGCGUAGAGAUUUGGAGGAACACCAGUGGCGAAGGCGACUGUGUGGUCUGUAACUGACACUGAGGCGCGAAAGCGUGGGGAGCAAACAGGAUUAGAUACCCUGGUAGUCCACGCCGUAAACGAUGAGUGCUAAGUGUUGGGGGGUUUCCGCCCCUCAGUGCUGCAGCUAACGCAUUAAGCACUCCGCCUGGGGAGUACGGUCGCAAGACUGAAACUCAAAGGAAUUGACGGGG
rnacentral:rRNA from 1 species